CUUUAAAGUCUGAACCCUCUGAAACUGCUCAGGAAAAUCAAUAUUCAUUUCCUUCAUCUUCGCAUGAGUUUACAUAUGAAAAUGCCCAACAACCAGAAGUUGCAUAUCCUCAUUCACAAACAAGCUCACAGAUCCAGAACCUAUCUCCCUUCUCCAGUGUAAUGGUAAUGCAUUGUUUUGUUAAAUUUUGGAUGUGCAGCAAUAUAUAUUUUAAAGCUGGUGUCUUAGUUUGGCUCUUUAAUUAACUAGAAUUGGUUCAUAAAUGUUAUAACUAGAGUUUGGAGAUCCUCUCGUUGGUGCUAUAUUACCUACACAUUCUUAAGAGAGUAAAAUGAUGUUUAUUCUCUGCAAAAAGUCUUUUUGAUAGUAGAAAACUGGCUUACCUUAAGAAAUAUAAUUUUCAAGACUGUCUUGUUUUGUAUCUUCAAUUAAUUAUAAUCAGUUCUGGAAUGAACCAAUGUGAGAUCGCGUAAUAAGCUUAGGGGAUGGUUAUGUGAUAUAUAUGAUUGGAUUGAGAAUUUGUUAAAAUUUCCUUUUCCGGGAUGUUUCAAUCUUUUGGAUUUAGGUGAUGUGGGUUUUCUACUAAUUAAAAUUUUGCUGCCCAGUUGCUCUACUAAUUAAACCUGUAUACAACCCCUUUCCUUAAUGUAAUACACAAUACUUUUGUCCCAUUACAUUAUAUUAUGGUGCAGAGAUCACAACUGUCGUGUGGUAAUAACAUAGGAUAUUACUGUAGUUUCUUUUAUCUGCAAAUGUUGAUAUUAUCUGUUGAUAUUACUAUCUACAUCUAACUUAAUAUUGCUUUAUAGGCAUAUACAAAUUCUUUGCCCAAUGCUCUGUUGGCUUCAACGGUUCAAACACCAAGGGAGGAUAUCCCAUACUCACCCUUCCCUGUUACACAAGCAAUGCCUGCAAAAUAUAGCAACAUGGCUUCUUCAAUUGGUGGUUCCACUAUAAACAUGUCAGAGGUAUACUUCUUGCUGACUUAUAUAAGUUCAUCUAUUAACAAGCUAUAGAAAGAGGUUAAGUUAUAAAUAGUUUUAAUAUAACGGCUUGCAGUAUUUGUCUAUUCUUGGCCAAAGUAAUGUUUUGGAGUUCAUGUGUACAUUAAAGUGCUGCAGUUACAUGCCGAUAAUUCUGGUUAACAAUUGCUAAAAACUAGUGACAACCACAUCCGCUAAGGGAAUGCAAAUUUCUCCCUAGAUUUUUGUGUAGCUCAGGGUUGGUUUUCUAUGUGUGUUACCUAUGAUGCACAAAUACGAUACGGGGAUGCGUCAUUUAUUGGAAAAUAUAAGUUAUGAUAUGUUUUGUAUACGUGUAUAAAAAAAUAAAAAUUAUGAAUAAUUUAUUAACUGAUAUAUUUUUAAAAAAAAGAUCAAGUGUUUGUCUAUGUUUAUGUAGUUUCAUAUAUAAAAAUAUCAAAUAUCACAUAUAAACUAAAUCAGUUAUAAUAUUAUAAUUAAAAAUCGUUUAUAAAUAUAAUUAAUUAAUAAAUCUGUGCUCACAAUGUGUUAUAAUAGUUUGAUUUAUUACUAAAUGAGAAAUCAUAUAUACAAUCAAAAUAAUUAAAAUAGAAUUACGAGGGUAGCAUCUCUAGGGGAAAUGAAACAUUUUUUUAAGGGGAAAUGAAACUUGAUAUGAGGAAAUGACGGACGAAAGCUAAAGGAUAGAGUGGUCCAGGCAAAAAGUUUUUCUUCUUCGGUUUAACCCAACUAUAUUUUUGCAGUGAUAUGUUGUUUAAUUGCCUGAUAAAUGCUAGUCAUCUACGAGGGACAAGUCUUACAUCGUUCGAUGCCUAUAAAAUAGUGACCAAUUUUGGAAGUAUCAAUAGUCUCUGUGUCUGUGUAAAAUCAUAUUAUCUUUUAUCCCAAAUUUGUUACGGGUAUUCGAAAUACCAAAGUGAAUCAAAGGAAUGUUCUUAGAGGAGGUUAUGGAUACAUCUGUACCAACAUUGUUUGCUAUUAAUUACUCUUAUGUGUUUGUGUAUAUGUAGAAUUAUAUCAGUUUUAACCCCCUUUUUUUAAGGGUACACCAAACUUACUCUAAUAAAGAUGAUUAUAAUUGACAGAGUUUAGUUUUAAGUUGGUGUCUUGAUUUUAUUGGUUCAGUCUUUUGAUUAUUUUUUUUGUCAAGAUGCAGGCUUUAAGGGCAAACAACAUUUCGACGCCUCAAGCUCAACCUAAUCAACAAUCUUUGCCUGGUGCUGGUGUUGCCACUGGACCUUCACUUCCUCAACACCUUGCUGUGCAUCCGUACUCACAGCUGGGACCUUUUGCUAAUAUGAUAAGUUAUCCGUUCAUGCCUCAGAGCUAUACCUACAUGCCAUCGGCAUUUCAGCAGGCUUUUGCUGGAAAUAGCACCUACCACC
rnacentral:lncRNA from 1 species